UACGUAGGGUCCGAGCGUUGUCCGGAAUUAUUGGGCGUAAAGGGCUCGUAGGCGGCUUGUCACGUCGGGUGUGAAAGCCCGGGGCUUAACCCCGGGUCUGCAUUCGAUACGGGCUAGCUAGAGUGUGGUAGGGGAGAUCGGAAUUCCUGGUGUAGCGGUGAAAUGCGCAGAUAUCAGGAGGAACACCGGUGGCGAAGGCGGAUCUCUGGGCCAUUACUGACGCUGAGGAGCGAAAGCGUGGGGAGCAAACAGG
rnacentral:rRNA from 1 species